UGAUGAGUUGAACGGGGGAGGAUUUGAACCGGUGGAGGUUCGACAAAAUCGCCAGGAGCGAUUUUGAACGCGCGCAGCGCGGCCCGAAGGGCGGAGGGCAUGGAAGCCCGGAGUAAUCCUCCCCCCUCCACCA
rnacentral:sRNA from 1 species